CCUACGGGUGGCUGCAGUGAGGAAUAUUGGUCAAUGGGCGCGAGCCUGAACCAGCCAAGUCGCGUGAGGGAAGACGGCCCUACGGGUUGUAAACCUCUUUUGCCGGGGAGCAACGGGCGCCACGUGUGGCGCCACUGAGAGUACCCGGAGAAAAAGAAUCGGCUACCUCCGUGCCAGCAGCGGCGGUAAUAGGGAGGAUGGGAGCGUUAUCCGUAUUUAUUGGGUUUAAAGGGUGCGUAGGCGGAGCGUUAAGUCAGUGGUCAAAUUGAGGGGCUCAACCCCUUCCCGCCAUUGAAACUGGCGCUCUUGAGUGGAAGAGAAGUAUGCGGAAUGCGUGGUGUAGCGGUGAAAUGCAUAGAUAUCACGCAGAACCCCGAUUGCGAAGGCAGCAUGCCGGCUUCCGACUGACGCUGAAGCACGAAAGCGUGGGGAUCGAACAGGAUUAGAUACCCGUGUAGUU
rnacentral:rRNA from 1 species